GGGGUCGUGGUGUAAUGGGAGCACAGCAGGCUUUUACCCUGCACGGCGGGGGUUCGAUUCCCUCCGGCCUCA
rnacentral:tRNA from 1 species